GGACGAGAGAAGCAAGAGGACAGGUGGAUAGUGGCAGAAGUUGUUUAAAGAAAUGAAAAACAACGUGAUGUGCCAAAAAUGUAGGUCGCAUAUUCAUCCGCCUGUGACGGAUGGAGGAGGAGGAGGACCGUCCCAUUUGGCUUGUCCACUUUUUUUUCUUUUUUUUUUUUUAAGGAAAAAAAAAAAAGGACUCCACGUUUCCCACCCGUCCUCUUACACACACAAGAAAACAUGUGUGAACGAGAGAGCGAGAGAGAGCGACUUUCUUCCUGGGCACUCGACCAACUUCGUCCUUGCUGCAGGUAGAAAACAAAAAACAAAAAUGGGAGGAAAAGUAGGACUCCACCUCCAGGUGUGGCUUUGCUCAGCUAAAAAAGAAGAAGAGGAUCCCAAUCUAACAGAUACACAACACGCAGCAGAGCGAUGCGCAUCGUCAUCGUCUGGCUGGUUUAAUUGUCCGAACACACGCCCAGCCGAGAGAGAGAGAGAGAAUUGCGCCCGGAGCGAUGUGUGUGUGUGUGCUGCGCAUCAAACGCACGAACAAGAACGACGAACGCUGGUGGGGGGAACUUGCUCACGCACCACCCCUUUCGCCACCCCACCUCUUCUGUUUUAUUUCACCUCAAUAAAUAAAACAACCCGGAACGACAAAGUCAGCAAUGGAACCUUGAGACAUCCGCAAGUCAAAUUUAAAAAAAAAAAAAUCAGGGCGAUAAAACAUGCGGAGUUAUCCGUAACAGACCAAGUUUUUUAAAAAUAUCCAAAUGUUGGAUGAAUUUAAGGCCUUUUCUAAAAAAAAUUGAGCCCUAGCAGCCCAGUUGUUUAAUAUAGAGGCUAUAAGGCUAUCCAAGUGUCCUGAAGCGGUAGGCCUACUGCCUUCCUUUCUUCGCCUUUUUUAUUAUUACAUUCUACGUUAAUCGACAUGGAUGAAAG